CAUAACCAUCCGCGAACUCAUUUCGUACGGCAGGAGCGGGGGACCCAGGUAAGUCGCCGGACCGGUCGGCCCACGUCGCACCGGAACGGCUUGGGGUGAAGCCUCGCCUUCUCCGGAAGGCGCGGCCGGGCACCUCCCCGCCCGAACCCGACAGCUCACCUCGCAGGCGGCGGAGAGGAACU
rnacentral:sRNA from 2 species